GACGAAUGCAGGCGGCGCGCUUAACAUAUGCAAGUUGAACGGAAAGGUCGUGUGCAUGUGGGGUGCUCGAGCGUCGUACGGUUGACUAAUGCGCGAGUGAUCUGCGCAGGAUCUUGGGAUCUUUUCAUGAAACUGGGGCUGAUACCGGAUGGGAGCUACCGACCUACGGUGGGGCUUGGAACGCUUCGGCCGCAGGGGGGGGAUGCCCGGCUUAUCAGCUGGGUGGUUGGGUGGUGGCCUACCAAGGCGUUGACGGCUAGCCGGCCUGAGAGGGUGACCGGCCACAUUGGGACUGAGAUACAGCCCAGACUCCUACGGGAGGCAGCAGUGGGGAAUAUUGCACAAUGGGCGGAAGCCUGAUGCAGCAACGCCGCGUGCGGGAUGACGGCCUUCGGGUUGUAAACCGCUUUCGCCUGUGACGAAGCGUGAGUGACGGUAAUGGGUAAAGAAGCACCGGCUAACUACGUG
rnacentral:rRNA from 1 species